AAGUUUUACUGUUUGGCAGGCUGGCUUCCCGGCCGCUUGCGCCCCACUCCCUGCACUUUGACUGUUUCAAGUUUCCCAGGAGCAACCCCAAAGGCGCAGCCCCAGCUUACCUGCUCCCUGGGUAUGCAGGGCAGGGAGGUCCUCCGGUGAGACUUGCCACUGCAGCCGGACAUCUCGCCGGCCACCACCGAGCUGGACCGCCUCCUCCUCUUCCACCCCGGAAUCUCUUCCUUGGUCCUCGCGCUCAACUGGGACCCAAACCGCUCCCUGGGCGGAGCCGGCCCGGAGCACUGCGGCAGGAUCUGCUCGGCGUACCUGGCCAGCAGCAGCCCAAGCACGGCCGCCAAGUAUGCCAGGUAAGGUCUCCAGGCGACCUUGAACCUCUCCAGAGAAACCAGGGCCACCGUCCUAAGCACGCUAGUCCAGGCGACCAUGAGGACGCCCAGCCUCAGCCUCAGCACCAGCCAUGUCGCGCCACCUAGGCAGCUGAGCAGGACCCCCGCGGCGGGCAGCGACAGCAGGCGACCGUCCCCCACGCCCAAGGAGAGCUGCACCAGCGCUUCCCCGGCGCAGCAGGCGGCCAACAGCGCGACGGCCAGAGGCAGGCGCACCCCGGCGCGCAGCAGGCACAAGCCCAUCCAGAAGAAGGCGCACAGGAGACUGAAGAGCAGCGCGGCCGGCUGCAGCCAAGGGCUGAGCUGCGCGCCGCCCCCGGGAGCACCUCCCCGAGGGCCCGGGAAGACGCCCCCUCGGGCUCCUUCCUCCUCCUCCUCCUCGGCCGCCGCCUCCUGACUCUUCUCCAGCUCGCCUCCGACCUCCCCGCCGACCAGCCUCACCAGCAGCGCCAGCAGCACGGACAGGGAGCCCGCGCACAGCGCCGAGGAGAGUUGAGGCGAGCGCCGGAGCGGCUGCAGCGCCAGGGCUCUCCAACAACAGCCGGAGCCCCGAGGGGAUGGAGAGGACUCGCCACGAUGGCGGUGGUUCCCUCUUGCCACACGGGCGGGACUCGCCCCUCCGAGGCCCGGCUUGGCUAGGUCUUGGGCGGCCUCGCCCCGCACUGCCAUGCUCUGCGGACAACCCCCACCCGUCCCACUCGCGCGUCCGCGCUCUUCUCGAGCCCACUCUCGGAAUCACUUCUUCCGGAUCUACGCGAAGUUUCAGCCUUGCAGAGAACUCAAGAGUGCGAGCUGAAGACUUCAAGUUGGCAGCUAGCAGGAUCAGCCUUGGAAUUUUCAACCCCCACUCCUCUCCUUUUCUCUUUCUCUCUCUCUCUCUCCCUCUCCCUCUCCCUCUCUCCUUUCCUUUCUCUCUUAAAAGUCCUCCGCUCCACCCUCAGCCAGAGUUUAUACCCUGCGGGGUCUCUUCCUACUUCGGGAUUUUAACACUUGCUCAACUCACUGAGUGCUCAGGGACCGCUGAUGCUGAGGCAGGCUGGGGCACUGGGCGAGCUCAGGCCAUCCUUGGGCGUUCAGGGACGGCAGGAAAUAUAGAGUGAGAAGAAUAAAAAGAUGAGAAAGGAAUAGAGAGAUGGCUCAGCAAUCAAGAGCCCCUACUGCUCUUUCAGAGAACCCAAGGAGUUCCCAGCACCCACAUCUGGUGGCACAGAGCCACCUGCAUUUAACUCUAGUUCCAGGGGAUCUGAUGCCCUCAUCUGGACUCCACAGGUAUCUGUACUCACACAUAUUCACACAUAACAAACAAAAGGACAGACAGGCAGAAAGAAAACUUUUAAGUAAUUUUAAAAGUCUAUCUGGGAGUGCCAGGACAUAUAACCCCGGGAUCUAGAAAGCUGAAACAGGAAAAGUGUUGGGAGUUAGAAGACAGCCUGCAAGACAAAUGGAACACUGGGGGAAAGUGUAUCCCUCUCCCCAACUCCAGAGCACAAGUAUCCUUAGUCAACAGUUACUGUUUAUGUGUGGUAAAUUCUACUAUUUGCUGAGCUUCCUCUGCAGAGCUAGGAAGCCCAGCUAGUGACACACACCCACAACAAACAAAAUCCCUCCAUUAUUAAUGAUUUCAUGAUCACAUACCACAGUGACCAUGUGGCAUUUAGAAAACCACGAUGCUAACUUCAUUGGCAGUCUAUGCAAAAGAAUUCCGGAUCUGCUCAGUAUAUUCAAAUGACAUCAAAGUGUUGCUGGAAUAAGAAGUGUCAACUCUUGCUCAGCUUGAAUAGUGACUGACUGGGUGUCAUUUGUCUCUCCCAAAUAAUAAUAAACUGAUGUUUGUCUCAAUUAUCUUGGUGCUUCAGGUUAAAGUGUGUUUAUAGCUUGGAGGACUUGGGUAAUUGGCUCAAAAUGCCACUGUGUUUUGUGUGUAGCGAAAGAGCAAUAAAAUAUUGCCAAGAGGAGAUGGAGGAAAUAAAAUGGAUUCAUGGGGGCAGUGGGAAAACGUGGCUUAUGUUGUAGAUUCUUUUUUUAUGGGAAACAGCCUACUGCAAUCCCAGCUGGGCAUUCACAAAGCCUUUAGGCAAAAAGGAACAGGAGCGGGUGUGACCAGGCAGCCAGCUCCCCUCUGUCACAUGUCCAGAACUAUGCCACUGCUCAGGAGCAUGUGUUGGGCAGCUAGUCAACGGUGGCAGUGGCACCAUCUGUCUAAUAAUUAAGGAAACAGGAGUAGCAUCGCCUUUGCUGAAGAAACUCGAGCCCCCUAGCAUGCACGCACACUUCCAUGAGUUUCCAUUUUACCCAAGAUUCAGCUGCCAGAGCCUACCUGGGACCCUUGAAAGUGAAGAGCCUGCUGCCCCUUGGCAUGGGGAAAGCACAGUAAAUCAGAAAUCUGAGCAUAUGUUGUAAAGCUUGCAGGGGGUCGGGGUGGGGGUAGAAGCAGAAUUGGGGAUGAAAGAAUAUUUCCAUGUUUCUCCAUCUUUGACGUCCACACCCAUUUAGUUUUUCAGGUAAAGUAAUUACAUAUGAUCAUCCAAACAGAGCUCUCACAAGAUUGACAGUGGAUAUGGUUUGAAAGCUGUCAUCAGCGGACUAGUGAGAUCUCAGUAGGUAAAGGAAAUUUCUGUGCAAAGACCUUUGGACCUGAGCUCAAUCCCAGGACCACACAAAAAGAGACGGAGCUCCUCAAAGUUGUCCCUAAUUGCCACAUGCCUACAUGGCAGACGAAUGGCCACACGUGAACAUUUCUUUCAUACUGCUAAUAUAAGUGUUUUAGUAAAACACUUGUCAUUGACUAACAGCAAAACAUCACUGAAUCUGUGUGUUGAUGGCAUUAUUGGAGCUGGUCAUUAGUGUAAAACGAAACAAUGUCCUGGCACCUGGCUUUCUUCCCAUUUUUAAGAAAAAUUACAAUCAGAAAGUUAACUGUCCCACUCAAAGACAAGAAGGUCUAUUUUUCUGCCUCUUAACCAUUCCAGAACCCAAGGAAGGUAUUGAAAGCUGGCCAGAUGUUCUUGCUAGAAGCAGAAAGUUGCAGGGAUAGACAGGAUAGAAGUAGGGAAGUGAACGGUGGCUAGCGGUUAUCAGUCAGGUGAGUUAAAUGAGGCCGGCCACAGUCUAGGAGACAGCUUUGAAGCAGCCAAAUAUAAAUAUUGCCCUUUGAAACAGGUGACUAUUCCUGAUUCAGGAAAGUGACCAAAAACUAACAAACAAGAAAAAGAUGACCCACACAUAGGUAACACAAGAAACUGUCAGAAAGCCCCCUACUCAGCCAGGUCCAGCCAAUGUGGCUUGAUUGGUUCUUUGCGAAAAUCCUUUGCAUUUUGCCAAAUAUAAAUAUACUCAAGGGGAAUGUCCUGAACAUUUUAAAAGAUUUCACUCCUCUGUGUGGCUUCCUUUGUUCUCCACUACCUCUCUGACCUUCAUGCAUUUACAGUGAGCUGCCACUGAGUGGCUAAACUAGGCAGUGCCUUAUCAUCCGGCCUGCCACUCCACCCUUCCACCUACACACCCACUUUCUUGGCCAUCCGCUCUUGUCCCUGGAAAGAACACAUUGCCUUUGACUCUUCUUUGAUUCGCUCACUACACUUCCAGACUACUAACAAAAGCACUUGCUUCUGUUUCUAAAGGAUGACCUGAAUAUCUCUCUUCUUUGCAUCCCUUUUACAGUAACCAAGUAAAAGUUCCUUACUAUCCCCAGCUAAGAUAGUUGCAAUAACAACUGGUCUCGUCCUCCUUUUUCUAUGGAGCAUAAUGAUAGUUCAAAUAUAUAAGUGGAUGAUGGUGUAUCUCCUGCUUAAAACCGUGCACGGUCUCUCAUUGCACCAGAGACUCCAAAGGACCCGGGACAAGCUACAAAGUCCGCCAUGAUCUUUCCAUCCACUGACAUCUGACCUUCUGACCUCUUCCUGUUCUGGCAUUCCCACGUUACUGCCCCAACUGUUACAAUGUCCUCCUCUCACAUUGUGGAGCAAAAAAUAAAAUUAUAUUUUAAGUAAA